AACGCAUCUAUUGGAUGCAAAUCCAAAGCAUUCUCGUUCUACAACGCAAAUUCAUAUUUACAUACGCACUAAUGUACAUUGACAUACCUACAUACAUACGUGUAUGCUUGUUCGUGGAGUGCUUUAAUAGUGUGCAUGUGUGUGUGUGUGUGUGUGUGUGUUUGUGUGUUUCUCGGUUUAUCCUGUUGCAGUUUCAUUUUGUGACCGACACUAACGGGUAGUUGCCGAUGUGUUCCAUUACUCGUUUCUGCGAUCACAAAUUCUGAAACUGCCACAAAAAGCAUCAAAGACGCCCCAAAUAGGAACACAUACAAGUACUAUAUGUAAAUACUACAAGUACAUACUACAUAUGUGCAUACCUAUUGUGCAAACUGUAUGACAGAGCUCGGAUUUGAUGAGUUUCUCGAAACGCGCCGUGCUCGGUGAUGUGGCAAAUGAUAAUCUGGAAGCACAUUACGUUUAUAUUUCCUAGCGAAGACACAUUAUAAUUGGCAUAUUCAAUGCCGUGUGAGAGAACAAACAUUCGCAUCUAAACCACAUUGUGUUGAAGGAGAAGAGGGGCAUUACGGGAGCACGAAAAAAUGUCUAUAAAGGCCAAAUGGAAUCCAAGCUAAUACUUUCCUGGAUUUGGCAGUGCUUGCGUGCCAAGUUUGAUAAUUGAGAUGAACGGAUGGUUAGACGGACUUGAUUUGUCACGCUAUCUUCUUAGUGUUACACACAAGUACAAGAAACAAUUGUGUUGUAUUAUUUAUUUGGGUCUUGGAUAAAUUGAAUCUCGUAUUUAUUUCAUUUUUCAGCCUAACAGUAAACAAUCAAAAUGUUAUUUCUAGCCAAGCUAAAAUAAUCGCCAUACAAGUAUAUUUGUUUCUGUCUAUUUACAGCCUAAGGUUCAAAGAACUUUAAUUCUCCACACGCACAUGGUAUUGGAAGUAAGGAAUGAUUUUCUUUGCCAUCUUAAAGCAGUCACGAAUCCCCAAAUAUUGGUGAUACACAACAAUGGUAAUAAAAUGUACGUGAGAAGCCGAACUAUGCCUUAUUCUACAAAAACAGCUGAGCUUUUCCCAUGUGAGCAGCAGGGCGUGGAAGGUGCCUAAAAGCAGAUAAGCGAAAGCUUUAAAUAAGAAAACAGUGAGCGGAGCCAACCAUUGACAUGGUUACAAGGACGCCAUCCACUUGAGGGUGGAGAAAAAAUAAAAAUAUCAGACCUAGAGACAAAGGCACAUAAAAAAAAAUGUCGUUAGUUGUUAUGGCAAAUGUAAAUGUAUCUCAAAGAUACACAACUCGCAAGUUGUUUAUUCGACAUAUGUACAUAUGUAUGUGUGGAGUGUGUAGCUGGUGCUUUGUGUCUGUAUGUGUGUUUUGGAAGGGGGAUGAGGGAACGCGAGUUUAUUUUUAUUCCAUGUUUUACGACACUAUUUUGACGUAAUGUUAUGCCCCAGGCAAAUUUUCAUUUACAUAUCAAGUAGAUGUCGGUUGGAAUAUUGUGCGGUUUUUUUUUUGGCGUUUAUUCUACGUCUGCCUAGGACACUUUUUGGUGCAGUAUUUCUGGGAAUUGAAAUCGAUAAUGGUUGUUGUUUUGAAAUUGAGAAAAGCAAUUUAUUUCCCUGUCUCUAAUACUUACACCUGUGGCAUGUCAAAUCAAUGAAUUAGGUUGGACGAGUUCAUUCUGCGUGAAAGGCUCGGUAAAAGGCAAUAAUUGGAUUCGUAUGUAAUACAAAUACACAUUCAAUUCCAAGAAAAAUGUUGUUCCUAUAGGUAUUAAGUUGAUUACAGCAUGAAUUCAAUAAUAACAAUUCUGUGGAUGCUAAAAUGUAUUGAAUAAAAAAUGUUAUGCAUUGAAAAACGAUUUUCUCUGAGAAUUGAAUCGCCUUUCAGGUUAACAAAUAUAAUUGACUGUUCGCAAAUUAUUAAAUGAGAGGGAUAUAGUUGAGACAUAGGUUUUAAACACAGAUAGUGACUACCAAGCAAUCAGAUCUGCCCCAGGCUUAUCAGCUCUUCUGUUCAGCCCGUCAGUUCAGCAACAAAUAUAUUCGAAAUUAUUAUAAUUUUUUGAAAAUAAUUUGUUUCUUUUACUUUUGAUUACUUAUGACUACUUAUUAGAAGAAAGCGAACAAAGGCUGUUAAUUUAUGAAUAAUUAUUAGUCACUAGGAAGCAGUUUCUGUAAAAUGCAUAGCCUUAUGUAGAGUGAAGAGGUAAAUUGAAACGAUAUCAAGAAAUUUAACAAUAAUCUAUAAUUUAAAAGCAAACCCCUGGAAAAAACUAUAAGACUGCGUCGCGAGCCCAACAAUAAUCUCUACUGCUACCACGCAGAUAGUAAAUAUUAUUAAUAAAUAGUUGUAAGAAAACUCUCAAAAAAUAAAAACUAUAAAUUGAAUUAAAAUGUGUAAUUCAGAAUUUAA